AUACGUAGGUGGCGAGCGUUGUCCGGAAUUACUGGGUGUAAAGGGCGUGUAGGCGGGGGCAUAAGUCAGAUGUGAAAUACCGGGGCUUAACUCCGGGGCUGCAUCUGAAACUAUGUUUCUUGAGUGCUGGAGAGGAAAGCGGAAUUCCCAGUGUAGCGGUGAAAUGCGUAGAUAUUGGGAGGAACACCAGUGGCGAAGGCGGCUUUCUGGACAGCAACUGACGCUGAGGCGCGAAAGCGUGGGGAGCGAACAGGAUUAGAUACCCUGGUAGUCCACGCCGUAAACGAUGGAUACUAGGUGUAGGAGGUAUCGACCCCUUCUGUGCCGGAGUAAACACAAUAAGUAUCCCACCUGGGGAGUACGGCCGCAAGGUUGAA
rnacentral:rRNA from 1 species